rnacentral:lncRNA from 1 species
AAAUCUUAAGUUUGGGGGUGUGAUAACUCUAUAAUAUAGAGUUAUUUGAGCACAAUUUUGAUAAUAAUUUGGCUUAGUUUUAGUAGUAAUGCAUAAAAAUUAGUAAAUUUUAUUUAAUUAUUUUAAAUUAAUUAUUUUAGGUGAGUCAAUCUAAUCUCAGUUAAUUUUUUGCUUAAUUUGGUGUUAAUGUGGUUAAGAUAUUUUGUUAUUGAUUUAUUUGUGCUUUUGUAGGUGUUUGAAAGAAGAAUUUUAGUGAAAGAAGGAGAGCAAUUUUGAGGUGCAGACUUGCACUGCAUAUGUUUCGGUAUUUUAGCCGUAACUUUCUCUAAAAAGCUCCAAAUGAAGCUAUUCUAAGACUAUUAGAAAGCUAAGAGAAAGAUCUACAACUUCUAUGUUUACCACUUUGCCCAGUUAGGCCUGUAGGAUGGUUGAAAAUCUUGUUAAAGUUGACAUACUGUAGUAGUCCUAGAGCAAUUGCGAUUUCUGUUAAUUAAUUGGGUAACGCUGCGACUUACAUAGUCUGAUAAGGAAAUCUCAGUUGAAAUUGACUUCUUUCUUCACCCAACUUGGCCUAACUUCAAAGCCUAUAAAAACAACCUUUCAGAGGACUUGAGGGGAAAAGAGAAAGAAAACACUAGAUUGUAAGCUGAGAGUCGAGCCACAAAGUCAUUGAAGCUAAGAAGAUUUUAAAGGAUUCAAGAAGACUUGGAAGAUCAAGAUUAUAAUUCUUGAGUUUAUUCUUUUUGAUUAUUCUCUUAUUUUCUUAGUUUGUUUUUAUUGUUUAAACUUUAUUCGAUGAUGAUGUGUGACUUGAUGGGGAACUAAAUUCUUAAUCUAAGAUUAUGAUUGAACUCAAUAUGUAGUCUGAAUUAUUUAUCUCUCUUUUAGUUAUGUUUGAUAGAUUUAAG